rnacentral:rRNA from 1 species
UUUCAUAGUGGCGGACGGGUGAGUAACGCGUGAGCAACCUACCUGCUAAGGAGGGAUAACACAGGGAAACUUGUGCUAAUACCGCAUGAUGUAUACGGAUCGCAUGUUCUGUAUACCAAAGGGAAACCGAUAGCAGAUGGGCUCGCGUUGGAUUAGAUAGUUGGCAGGGUAACGGCCUACCAAGUCUGCGAUCCAUAGCCGAACUGAGAGGUUGAACGGCCACAUUGGAACUGAGAAACGGUCCAGACUCC